rnacentral:lncRNA from 1 species
UCCUCCACGAAUGCCAGCAGGGAGCCCAGCAGCUCAUGUCCCAGUCCCAAGCACACCGCGUGGACCCUGAGGGCCGAGCCUGCAGAUCCCUGAGAGAGAGAGACGAGAGAACAUUCCAGAAUGCAACAUCCAUCCAGGGGAGGAUGAGGGGAGGAGCCAGACUGGAUUAGUGGACAAGAAUGAAAGGAAAAACAUUAGCUUCAUUGAUGCCAACGUGAGCAUUUGUACAUUUAUAUGUAUUGUAACGACCCUGAGUCGUAUUUUGUCCAAUCAUUACCUAGCCCCUAUUCAAAUCUUUACAGGCUAUUUAUCAUAUAAUAUCAUAAUAUUUAUCAUGGAUGGAUGAAGAGGGAAAAAU